UACAGAGGGUGCGACCGUUGCUCGGAAUUACUGGGCGUAAAGGGCUCGUAGGCGGCCAACUAAGUCGGAUGUGAAAUCCCCAGGCUCAACCUGGGAACUGCAUCCGAUACUGGAUGGCUUGAAUUCGGGAGAGGGAUGCAGAAUUCCAGGUGUAGCGGUGAAAUGCGCAGAUAUCAGGAGGAACACCGGUGGCGAAGGCGGGUCUCUGGGCAGUAACUGACGCUGAGGAGCGAAAGCGUGGGGAGCGAACAGG
rnacentral:rRNA from 1 species